GCACCAACUAAAUUUACUGGAGGAGUUUGGGGGAUUGGCUUCACAUGGUGGAAGUUGUAGUUCACCGUGCAUCAAGUCAGAGCACUGUGACUCCUACUGGGGAAUGUAGAGGAGUUGUAGUUCACCUACACCCAGAAUGCUAUGAACCCAAACAAUGAUGAUUUUGGGCCAAAAUUGCCAUGCAUACCUGAUAUGCCCAGAUUUGAAUACUGGUGGGUUUUGAGGGGAAUUGGCCCGGACAUUUGGGAGUAGUAGGUACUGGGAUUUAUAGUUCACCUGCAAUGAAUGAGCACUCCGAACCCCUCCGAUGAUGGACCAGGACCAAACGUGGCACACAGAGCCCCCAUAACCAAAAGAGUAUAUUGGACAAGUUUGGGGGAAAGGGAGUUAUAGUUCACCUGCAUCCAGAGAAACAGUGACUCCCACCGACAAUUGACCAAACUUUGCACAGAGAAGCCUCAUGACCAACUGAACAUACUGCAGGGGUUUGUGGGAAUGGGCCUUGAUUUUGGGAGUUGUAGUUCACAUGCAUUCAAAGAGCACUGAACCCAGCCAACAAAAAACUGGGAAAACAUUGACUCCAGUAUAAGCUGAGAGUGGUAAAUUUCAAAAAUAAAAAUAGAUACCAAUAAAAUUACAUUAAUUGAGGCAUCCGUAGGUUAAAUGUUUUUUGAAUAUUUACAUAAAGCUCUAAUUUAUUCUAACUCUGAUUAAAUCAUUAUUCUCAUCUUCUUCAAAAUAAAUGUGCUUAUGUAUACUUUUAAUAAUAACUAGCUGUGCCCGGCCACGCGUUGCUGUGGCGAAGUAUGGUAGUAUGGGAAAUAAAGUAUUGAGGAAUUGGUGGUAGUUAAGGUAAAGGGUAAAGGUUUUCCCCUGACAUUAAGUCCAGUCAUGUCUGACUCUGGGGGUUGGGCUCAUCUCCAUUUCUAAGCCGAAAAGCUGGCAUUGUCCGUAGACUCCUCCAAAGUCAUGUGGGAUGACUGCAUGGAGCGGCGUUACCUUCCCGCCAGAGCAGUACCUAUUGAUGCACUCACAUUUGCAUGUUUUUGAACUUCUGGACCGAAAGGUCGCAGGUUCGAAUCCGGGGAGCAGAGUGAGUGCCCGCUGUUAGCUCCAGCUUCUGCCAGCCUAGUAGUUUGAAAACAUGCAAAUGUGAGUAGAUCAAUAGGUACCGCUCCGGCGGGAAGGUAACGGCACUCCAUGAAGUCAUGCCGGCCACAUGACCUUGGAGGUGUCUACGGACAACGCCGGCUCUUCGGCUUAGA
rnacentral:lncRNA from 1 species